AGUGAACGCUGGCGGCAGGCCUAACACAUGCAAGUCGAGCGGAAGAAGGGAGCUUGCUCGUGGAUACAGCGGCGGACGGGUGAGCAAUGGCUAGGAACCUGCCUGGCUGCGGGGGAUAACGUGAGGAAACGGGGGCAAAUACCGCAUACGUCCUGACGGAGAAAGGGGGGGAGCUUCGGACCUUACGCUAUCAGACGAGCCUAUGUCGGAUUAGCUAGUUGGUGGGGUAAAGGCCUACCAAGGCGACGAUCCGUAACUGGUCUGAGAGGAUGAUCAGUCACACUGGAACUGAGACACGGUCCAGACUCCUACGGGAGGCAGCAGUGGGGAAUAUUGGACAAUGGGCGCAAGCCUGAUCCAGCCAUGCCGCGUGUGUGAAGAAGGUCUUCGGAUUGUAAAGCCCUUUUAGUUGGGAAGAAGAGCAGUAAGUUAAUACCUUGCUGUUUUGACGUUACCAACAGAGUAAGCACCGGCUAACUUCGUG
rnacentral:rRNA from 1 species